GACGAACGCUGGCGGCGUGCUUAACACAUGCAAGUCGAACGGAAAGGCGCUGCUUUUGUGGGGUGCUCGAGUGGCGAACGGGUGAGUAACACGUGAGUAACCUGCCCUUGACUUUGGGAUACUUCAGGAAACUGGGACUAAUACCGGAUAGGAGCUCCUGCUGCAUGGUGGGGGUUGGAAAGUUUCGGCGGUUGGGGAUGGACUCGCGGCUUAUCAGCUUGUUGGUGGGGUAGUGGCUUACCAAGGCUUUGACGGGUAGCCGGCCUGAGAGGGUGACCGGCCACAUUGGGACUGAGAUACGGCCCAGACUCCUACGGGAGGCAGCAGUGGGGAAUAUUGCACAAUGGGCGGAAGCCUGAUGCAGCAACGCCGCGUGCGGGAUGACGGCCUUCGGGUUGUAAACCGCUUUCGCCUGUGACGAAGCGUGAGUGACGGUAAUGGGUAAAGAAGCACCGGCUAACUACGUG
rnacentral:rRNA from 1 species